rnacentral:lncRNA from 1 species
CGAGAGAGUCCACAGGCAUGAUUUGACAGGAUAAUGCCCUCACUUGAUAAAAGGAGAGACUCUCUGUCAGCUGCCCGCAUCCUCCCUGAAGCUCUGGAAUCUGACUUCAUGGAGCAUUUGAGCAGCUAAGCUUUUCCUGACCCCCUCCCUCCCACCACCACUCCCGCCUUCCCCCAGUUGCUGAGCAUAAUUGAGAAUUAAUUGCAUGUCUGCUUAUUAUUUUGCUUACUUAAUUUGGUCUAAACGUUGUUCACACUCCAGACUUAAGGCCUGGAAGUGGCUGUCUUCAGGACCUGAUCUCUCCAAGACAGGCGCUCCAGUGGAUCUGAGUUAGAUCGGUGUAUAGAUCAGAGUUCCUAAGAAGCAAUGGACAAAGACCCAGAGUCUGUGCUGGGGGCCUUGGAAGGCUCUAAACCCUGAGCAGCAGUUUACAGAAGAGGCGAACAAUAUGGAUAUGGAGACAAUCUCUUAGGAGACUUGGGAGUGCUCUCCUGUAGGAUCCAAGACUUCUCAUCUUUCCGAUGCGAACUGAAUUAUGCUAGCAUGUCAACCAGGACAUUUCAGAGAAGCAUCGAACAGAAACGUGUUAGUAAACCUCUUACCAGAACACCCUCACUAUCGAUUUUUUUUUGUCACUAAAACACAAACCAGCAUGGGACAUUAAACAGGACCUUUGGUAUUUGGUGUUGGGAAAAUGCCCCCUUGGAUCUAGAGCUCUUUAGGAGUAAUGGCUUCCCGAAAAGAACUAUAGAGAAAAAGAAGGCAGAAUAACCCAGGUGCCUGAGCAUCUUUGAGGAGGCCCCGAUGUGACUACCUGAAACCAGUCUAUGUCAGCACUUCUUGCUACCUGAGAUAUACAUUAUUCAUGGUUUAAGCCAUUCUGAGUCAGGACUUUUUUUUUAUUGAAACUCGGAGCUGGAAAUAGCCAAGUUUACCCACCAAGAAUAACAUCUGGAUUAUGAACCCUGGAAAUAUAACCACUGUCAUUUUGUGUCCCUGGACUAUAUUAAGCUCUACCACAUGGUUUCCAACUUGAGAGUCACUUGUGAGUCAGCACGUUCUAUUUCAUCUUCCUCUAGAUCAUUUGCUGUUUGGUGGCUGGGCUAAAUUAAAAUUUAUAAACUCUAUCAUGUUAAAGUAAAUUAUAUUAUUAGUAUACAUAGUAAAUGUAUAUUAAAUUGUAUUUCUAUUAUAAUAUAAAUUUUAUUAUGUAUUAAGAAUAUUAUUAUCUGUUUUAG